GCUGGUGUGGCUCAGUGGAUAGAGCAUUGGCCUGGGGCUGAAGGAUCCUGGGUUCGACUCCAGGCAAGGGCA
rnacentral:tRNA from 1 species